rnacentral:lncRNA from 1 species
CGCAGACCUGCGUCGCGCGUACGAAGUGCGUUCCAAGAGCGUCGCCGUCGAAUCCGAAGCGCCGCCGUCGCCCGCGCCGCUGAGGCGCAGAGAUUCACUGAAGUCCCGCAAAAGUCCGGAGCGUGAAGAGAAACGAUCUUCGGUCCCGAAUGUCACUACCAAGAGGACGUCCACUGUUUUUGGGAAAGUGUCCAAGUUCCGUCACUUGAAGGGUACUCCGGGACACAAGUCCACACACGUGGAGAACAUCAAGAACAUCAGCAGACAGAUAUCCGGGGAGUGCAAUGGCUUCUAUGGAAACGGCACCCGUUGCGCCGUACCAAUCGGCGGGGGUGGGGGAGGUCGCAUAGGGGUGGUAGAGCUGCCAGUCGGCUCCACGUCC